CUUCAUUAGGAAUUUUAUGAUUGUUUUUCUAUUUCUGUGAAAAAUGUCAUUGGAAUUUUGAUAGGGAUUGCAUUUAAUCUAUAGAUGGUUUGGGGUAG